UCAGUCGACUCCUACGGGGAGGCAGCAGUGGGGGAAUAUUGCACAAUGGGCGCAAGCCUGAUGCAGCCAUGCCGCGUGUGUGAAGAAGGCUUCGGGUUGUAAAGCACUUUCAGUCGUGAGGAAGGUAGUGUAGUUAAUAGCUGCAUUAUUUGACGUUAGCGACAGAAGAAGCACCGGCUAACUCCGUGCCAGCAGCCGCGGUAAUACGGAGGGUGCGAGCGUUAAUCGGAAUUACUGGGCGUAAAGCGCAUGCAGGCGGUUUGUUAAGUCAGAUGUGAAAGCCCGGGGCGUCAACCUCGGAAUUGCAUUUGAAACUGGCAGACUAGAGUACUGUAGAGGGGGUAGGAAUUUCAGGUGUAGCGGUGAAAUGCGUAGAGAUCUGAAGGAAUACCGGUGGCGAAGGCGGCCCCCUGGACAGAUACUGACACUCAGAUGCGAAAGCGUGGGGAGCAAACAGGAUUAGAUACCCUGGUAG
rnacentral:rRNA from 1 species